GCCUGUAUAGCUCAGUGGUAGAGCGCGGCACUUGUAAUGCCGAGGUCCGUGGUUCGAUCCCGUGUGCAGGCA
rfam:Coniosporium apollinis CBS 100218 chromosome Tnknown supercont1.5, whole genome shotgun sequence.